AUGGCUUCAGAGCAAAAUAAUCAUUUGACUUCUCUCAUUUUCCAGAUGAAAAAUGAAUUUCAACUGCAAAUGCUAUUUUUCCAGUGGAAAAAUGAAACGCAGACCCAGCUAAAUAUGCAACUUUCCAAAAUGAAAAACAUGCAGAUGCAGCUUUUCAAUCUGCAACAGCAAGUCACAAAAGUCCAAGCUAUGGGAGAUGCCUCCCACAUGGGAGGGGCUCUAACCCUGUGCUCUGCUGAUUUGCCUCCAGAUAAGAUGGACACGCUGCAACCGGAUGUACUAAUUGGCUCUGAAUUACAGGAAACACACAAAAUGUCCCAUAUGGCUCUGUCCACACUGAUGAUGAGUGCAACCUCCACGGACAGUGGCCCGGCGCCCCCUGGUGUCGGGCCUGAUGAACUACUGUUGGGACCUCUCCUGCCACAGGAAAGGGGUGGUAAGCCCACAGUAUCUGUCAUAUUGCAACAGGGGCAUCCCUGCAACGCGCUUUUAGAUACUGGCUCAGAUUUUACAAUCAUGAGCAAGUGUCUUUUCGACCGCGUCUGCUUGGAUGUAGGUGGAGGCAUACAUCCUCCAGAACUGAUUCCCUGUGCAUUAACUAUCCGUGUUUUCUCUGAUUCUACAGUGCUCUUGUCUUCUAUGACUCCGCUCCAAUUCACGAUCGGUCCCAUGAGCUUGACACACCCUGUGUACAUCUCCGAGAGUGGAACCAUGCCUCUCACCCUUGGCAUGGACUUUCUGAGGCGCAUUAAUGCUUUCAUUGAUGUGGAAAGGGAGGAACUCUGGUCAGAGGUUGAAGAACCUCUGCCCAUCAUUCUGCCUCCUGACCUCCACCGUCUCAUGGUUGGUAACUCUGAGCAGGCGGGAACAACAUGUUCACCACCUAGCCCAGAACCUUUGCCACCACAGAUUCAGCUUUCAUCAGAGUCACAUUCUGAUGUUUUCUCUCAGAUUGAACAGGUCGUGGACCAAGCAGAUGCUCGUACCAACGAUGUCGAGCGAGACAAACAACAACUUGUGUUAAAAUAUUCUGAUUGCAAUAAUCUUUCUCUUUCCACCAUGUGGACAGGUAAACACAUUUCCAGCUACAUUGGUGGCCAGAAACUCAGCUUUGAAGCUCGACUUCUGCCAGAGAACUUCCUUAACAGUCAUCUCAACAACUUUACAGACCCUCUUGCCACACAAGGUAAAGACGUGGGCACCUCAUGGUCCCUCAAACCCUUGUGGGCCCCUGAUGCAUCCAUCUUUCAACCGUCUGAUGGGUUUGUGUCUGUUCAACUUGACUUUUCUAUAAAUGACCUUGUCGAUCUUCAGCUCCAGGACCCUGUUAUCAGCAGGAUGAUCUUGCACCUUUCUGAUCCAAAAGUUCAUUUACAUCUUUCUCUGGGGUUUGACUCCGUUCCUGAGCUGAGUGCUCUCUUUUGUGUUCGUGUCACUCCUCGGUCAGGUGUUGUUGACCACAACGGCGUCGGACUGACCAGGGAAUCCAGUACCUCUAAGAUCAUUGAUGUCCACAGAGCCUGUGUUGUCCCUGCAGCAGAACCACUCCUACCUGAGUUGGGAAAGCCACCCGACCCAGGGGAGGCUGACACUUGCAGCGACGCUCCGCCUGAGACUCCACACCCUGCAGUGGGGACGCCACCCGCCACAGGGAGAGUAGAUGGUGGCACUGAGACUCCAGCUGAAGCCCAGUAUUUUGCGGUGGGAACACCACCUACCAAGAGGGGGGCCGAUGCCAUCACUGACCUUAAUCAGUAA
ensembl:lncRNA